AGCCCGGUGUAGUGGUUUGAGCAUUGGACUAGGACACCAAAGACCAGGGUUCAAAUCCCCACUCAGCUA